UACGUAGGGGGCUAGCGUUGUCCGGAAUCAUUGGGCGUAAAGAGCGUGUAGGCGGCCAUGUAGGUCCGGUGUGAAAACUCGAGGCUUAACCUCGAGAUGUCAUCGGAAACCAUUUGGCUAGAGUCCGGAAGAGGAGAGUGGAAUUCCUGGUGUAGCGGUGAAAUGCGUAGAUAUCUGGAGGAACACCGGUGGCGAAGGCGGCAUCCUGGACCAACACUGACGCUGAGGAGCGAAAGCCAGGGGAGCAAACGGG
rnacentral:rRNA from 1 species